rnacentral:rRNA from 1 species
CCUACGGCGGCUGCAGUGGGGAAUAUUGGACAAUGGGCGAAAGCCUGAUCCAGCCAUGCCGCGUGUGUGAAGAAGGCCUUCGGGUUGUAAAGCACUUUCAGUGGGGAAGAAAGCCUUGGGGCUAAUACCCUCGAGGAAGGACAUCACCCACAGAAGAAGCACCGGCUAACUCCGUGCCAGCAGCCGCGGUAAUACGGAGGGUGCGAGCGUUAAUCGGAAUUACUGGGCGUAAAGCGCGCGUAGGCGGUCUGAUAAGCCGGUUGUGAAAGCCCCGGGCUCAACCUGGGAACGGCAUCCGGAACUGUCAGGCUAGAGUGCAGGAGAGGAAGGUAGAAUUCCCGGUGUAGCGGUGAAAUGCGUAGAGAUCGGGAGGAAUACCAGUGGCGAAGGCGGCCUUCUGGACUGACACUGACGCUGAGGUGCGAAAGCGUGGGUAGCAAACAGGAUUAGAUACCCGGGUAGUC